rnacentral:rRNA from 1 species
UUUGAACCGCAUGGUUCAAAAGUGAAAGACGGUCUUGCUGUCACUUAUAGAUGGAUCCGCGCUGCAUUAGCUAGUUGGUAAGGUAACGGCUUACCAAGGCAACGAUGCAUAGCCGACCUGAGAGGGUGAUCGGCCACACUGGAACUGAGACACGGUCCAGACUCCUACGGGAGGCAGCAGUAGGGAAUCUUCCGCAAUGGGCGAAAGCCUGACGGAGCAACGCCGCGUGAGUGAUGAAGGUCUUCGGAUCGUAAAACUCUGUUAUUAGGGAAGAACAUAUGUGUAAGUAACUGUGCACAUCUUGACGGUACCUAAUCAGAAAGCCACGGCUAACUACGUGCCAGCAGCCGCGGUAAUACGUAGGUGGCAAGCGUUAUCCGGAAUUAUUGGGCGUAAAGCGCGCGUAGGCGGUUUUUUAAGUCUGAUGUGAAAGCCCACGGCUCAACCGUGGAGGGUCAUUGGAAACUGGAAAACUUGAGUGCAGAAGAGGAAAGUGGAAUUCCAUGUGUAGCGGUGAAAUGCGCAGAGAUAUGGAGGAACACCAGUGGCGAAGGCGACUUUCUGGUCUGUAACUGACGCUGAUGUGCGAAAGCGUGGGGAUCAAACAGGAUUAGAUACCCUGGUAGUCCACGCCGUAAACGAUGAGUGCUAAGUGUUAGGGGGUUUCCGCCCCUUAGUGCUGCAGCUAACGCAUUAAGCACUCCGCCUGGGGAGUACGACCGCAAGGUUGAAACUCAAAGGAAUUGACGGGGACCCGCACAAGCGGUGGAGCAUGUGGUUUAAUUCGAAGCAACGCGAAGAACCUUACCAAAUCUUGACAUCCUUUGACAACUCUAGAGAUAGAGCCUUCCCCUUCGGGGGACAAAGUGACAGGUGGUGCAUGGUUGUCGUCAGCUCGUGUCGUGAGAUGUUGGGUUAAGUCCCGCAACGAGCGCAACCCUUAAGCUUAGUUGCCAUCAUUAAGUUGGGCACUCUAAGUUGACUGCCGGUGACAAACCGGAGGAAGGUGGGGAUGACGUCAAAUCAUCAUGCCCCUUAUGAUUUGGGCUACACACGUGCUACAAUGGACAAUACAAAGGGCAGCGAAACCGCGAGGUCAAGCAAAUCCCAUAAAGUUGUUCUCAGUUCGGAUUGUAGUCUGCAACUCGACUACAUGAAGCUGGAAUCGCUAGUAAUCGUAGAUCAGCAUGCUACGGUGAAUACGUUCCCGGGUCUUGUACACACCGCCCGUCACACCACGAGAGUUUGUAACACCCGAAGCCGGUGGAGUAACCUUUUAGGAGCUAGCCGUCGAAGGUGGGACAAAUGAUUGGGGUGAAGUCGUAACAAGGUAGCCGUAUCGGAAGGUGCGGCUGGA